rnacentral:rRNA from 1 species
AUUGAACGCUGGCGGCAUGCCUUACACAUGCAAGUCGAACGGCAGCGCGGGAGCAAUCCUGGCGGCGAGUGGCGAACGGGUGAGUAAAGCAUCGGAACGUGCCCUGAAGUGGGGGAUAACGUAGCGAAAGUUACGCUAAUACCGCAUAUUCUGUGAGCAGGAAAGCAGGGGAUCUUCGGACCUUGUGCUUUAGGAGCGGCCGAUGUCGGAUUAGCUAGUUGGUGAGGUAAAGGCUCACCAAGGCGACGAUCCGUAGCGGGUCUGAGAGGAUGAUCCGCCACACUGGGACUGAGACACGGCCCAGACUCCUACGGGAGGCAGCAGUGGGGAAUUUUGGACAAUGGGCGCAAGCCUGAUCCAGCCAUGCCGCGUGAGUGAAGAAGGCCUUCGGGUUGUAAAGCUCUUUCGGCGGGGAAGAAAUUGCUUCGGCUAAUAUCCGGAGUAGAUGACGGUACCCGCAUAAAAAGUACCGGCUAACUACGUGCCAGCCGCCGGUAA